rnacentral:lncRNA from 1 species
AUUGGUGGCUACUGAAGAAGAAUCUAACCGCUUGAGAAAAGAACUAAGUGAAGAGAAAGCUCGUCGUCGUUUUGAAGUAGAAAGAAUAACAAAAGAAAAAGAAAAAGAAAUGGAUGAACUACAUGAUCGUGUAAAAAAGGCUAUAUCGAAGAAAGAAGAAACUGCGAAUUUGCUUAUUCAGCAAAAAAUAGCUGCAGAAAAACGAGCUGAACAUCUCGAACAAUUACUUACAGAGCAGCGCAAAAAAAUUCUUGCCAAGUGAAUAACUUUUUAAAAGUGGAAGUUUUGAUCGGAAAAGAAUUUUAAAAAGAUUGAAAGAUGUUCAAUGCAUCAACAAAACGUCGUUUGUCGUUGACAAAUGUCAAUCAA